AUUUUCUAGAAGCAAGGAGGGAUGCAGAGUAUUCGAUCUGCUCUCCUCUGUAACCUUGCUUUGCACUGCUGCAGGCUGGUGCUGGAGAAGCCUCUCCCCCACAGGGAUGUGGAUGGAUGGAUGUGUGCCUCUUCUGCAGCAGCCAGCUCUGAGUGCUCUGCAGCUCAUCACAGCACUGGUGCUGUGGACAGUCGCCUGAGCUGCCUUUCUGCCAUCAAUCUCCCUCCUUCCCUCUCCUUUCCCUGUGCUAUAGAGUGCUCACUUGCCUCACUGGACGCAUCCCUUCCAUGGCAUGCUGUGACUGUGGCUGCUGGCACGGAGGGAGUGGUGCCUGAUGGGGAAGAAGAGAUGCUUGUGUCCAGUUUCCAUGAUCCUGCUGACACUGGAGAUACCUGCUGUACAGGCUUUUUUACCUCACCUUGUUUGGUAUGUCCAAGCUCCCCAUUCCAUGACAGAGCCAAGCAGCUUCAGCCAGGCAUGAGGACCUUCAUACAUGAAAAGCAGUGAAGAGCCAUAUCCCUAAAGCAUGCAACUCUUGUAUAUGACAAAAGAUAAUGGGUGGAUACCAAGAAUUGAAGGUAACAGAAAGAAAGAGAGGACAUAUUUCCACAGCUUGGCAAAAGCAGUCUCCAAAGUCCUCAAACAGCUGUGGAAAAAUAGUGAAAGGAGAGCAAAUAGCCUGUUUGUCCUCUAUCUCAUGGACACAGUGCCUUGUGAGCCCUGGAGGGUAUCUGCUCAUAUCCAAGCUGUGAAAGCAGUUGCUGUGCCUGCCACAUCACAGCUUCAUAGACACACCAAUGCUUGCAGUACAGUCAAAAUAUGCUUUAAAGCCCAUUUCAGCAGCAAGCUCUCUGGAUUCUGUGCCAGGAAAUGUUAAUUACUGUGGUGCAGUGUUCUGUUUUCUGUGGUGCAAUAACAAUUAAUUUACACCAUUUGGAAAAACACUUUUUUAUUAAAAAUCAAUAGAAGCAAAUCAAUGCAAUGUAAAGCAUACAAUACCAAAAUGAAAAGCUCUUGUUUUUAUACUUGGGCAUCCUUAAUAAAAUUGCACUGUAGAUUCAGGCAGUUUGUCUAUUGUAAUCUAAUGAGAAGCUGUCAAGCUUCUUUUAAGCGUUCUGGAAAUUACCAUGUAUUGGGGCAGCCAUUUUUAGUCAAAGAAUUCAAUAAUUAACCCCCAAGUUGUAAGUCAAUAUGAUGAUGGUGCAGGUGCCGCUGCAUUUGUCUCUCUGCACUGCAUCACCUAUGCACCUGACAAUCUGUGGGACCCAUUUUGAAUCGAGAUGGAGGUUAAUUUUUAUUUAUAGUUAUAAUUAGAAAAACACUAGCUGUAAUGAAAACUGCUCCACCGCUGGAACAUAUCACCACAGAGUAAAUUCCACAGCAAUUUUUGCAUUUUAAUAGGUCAGAGAGUAACACAAAUGAAUUGCUUCUUCCUGGGGGAACUUGUUUAUUCUUUGGAAUUUAAUGAUUUACUGGAACACUGAUCUCAAAGAAAAAAAUCCCACAGUUGUUUUUCUACCAUUGCCUCAACUGCACAAGGUGCUGCAGACCCUGGGAAGGCAGCUCACACCUGUAAUUGUACAGCUCCUGAGGCUCCCCUGCACAAGGUACUGGGGCCUACCUGCCAGCUCCUCAGCACCCUGCUGCACAUGGCACAGGAGCUCAGGGACUUCUCCAGGAUGAUACAGCUCCACCACAGAAGUGCUCCCUCAGCCCACAGCAGGAUGCAUCCAGCUGCUACAGUAAGGAAUGCUUUACCCUUUAGGCACAAGCUGCUGUUCCCCUCCCCAUGGUCCACCGCCAUGGUCUGCACAUUUAUGAGUGCAGCCACAACUACAGCUGGUCUUCUCUGACUCAACCAGAGCAGGAAGAAGCAGGACAAUUUUAAUCCAAUGGAAGCACUCAUGGAAGCAGCCAAGGACAUAUCACUCUGGAAGGGCAGAUCAUCAUUUCCUUUCUCCAGACAGGACUACUAUGGGUUUGAGUUUGACUAUUUUAACGGUGAAUUGAUUUUUUGUGUGAAGUGAUCUAGGUAUGACAGUAGAUUUUUCAAAGUCAUUCGGUAGCUCAUGACAGUGGGCUGGGAGGACAGGUGUCAUCAAAUAAAAAGGUAUGAAGUGGACUAAUUUAAAAGGAACGCAGAGGUUGUACAGAACUGCCAGAAACUCCAUCGCUUUGGUACAGCGAUGCAAGGAAAAUAGAAACAGUAACAAAAGAAGACUUUGAAAUUCAAAGUUUUACAAAACAGGAUAUUUGAUUUGGAUUGUAUCUAGAAAUUGCAAAAGCUUGGCAAAGCAUCACUGAGGUACUGCAAAAUAUUUGUAAUCUGCAUAAUCUUUAUAUGCCACAGUCUUUCCCUCUACUGUGGGAGCUGUGAUGUAACCAUGAAUUUGUUAUUGGGGUGGCUGAC
ensembl:lncRNA